rnacentral:rRNA from 1 species
GUGGGGAAUUUUGGACAAUGGGCGCAAGCCUGAUCCAGCAAUGCCGCGUGCAGGAAGAAGGCCUUCGGGUUGUAAACUGCUUUUGUACGGAACGAAACGGUCCUGGUUAAUACCUGGGGCUAAUGACGGUACCGUAAGAAUAAGCACCGGCUAACUACGUGCCAGCAGCCGCGGUAAUACGUAGGGUGCGAGCGUUAAUCGGAAUUACUGGACGUAAAGCGUGCGCAGGCGGUGCUGUAAGACAGGCGUGAAAUCCCCGGGCUCAACCUGGGAAUUGCGCUGGUGACUGACGUGCUGGAGUACGGGAGAGGGGGAUGGAAUUCCGCGUGUAGCAGUGAAAUGCGUAGAUAUGUGGAGGAACACCGAUGGCGAAGGCAGUCCCCUGGGCCUGUACUGACGCUCAUGCACGAAAGCGUGGGGAGCAAACAGGAUUAGAAACCCCAGUAGUCC